UUUUGUUCUUCUAUUUUUAUUUGUGUACAGACUGCAUCCAACUUAACACGUUGUCAGAUUUGCUUUUCUUUUGUUUCUAAUCAUUCUAUUUUAUAACAUUCAGAUGAUGGCCUUCAUUCAUGUUUCAUUGCGAGCACUAUGACGAAGAAGUAAGAAGAAAGCAAGGCAUGCAUGAUCUAGGCAUGCAUGCACAUUCUUCUAAUGCUGA
rnacentral:lncRNA from 1 species